CAGCAGCCAUGGUAAUACGUAGGUGGCAAGCGUUGUCCGGAAUUAUUGGGCGUAAAGGGCUCGCAGGCGGUUUCUUAAGUCUGAUGUGAAAGCCCCCGGCUCAACCGGGGAGGGUCAUUGGAAACUGGGAAACUUGAGUGCAGAAGAGGAGAGUGGAAUUCCACGUGUAGCGGUGAAAUGCGUAGAGAUGUGGAGGAACACCAGUGGCGAAGGCGACUCUCUGGUCUGUAACUGACGCUGAGGAGCGAAAGCGUGGGGAGCGAACAGGAUUAGAUACCCCUGUAGUCCCUGUCUCUUAUAC
rnacentral:rRNA from 1 species